rnacentral:rRNA from 1 species
UGGGGGAUAUUGCACAAUGGGCGAAAGCCUGAUGCAGCGACGCCGCGUGGGGGAUGAAGGCUUUCGGGUUGUAAACCUCUUUCGCUAUCGAACAAGGCCCGCUUAGGGUGGGUUGAGGGUAGGUGGAGAAGAAGCGCCGGCUAACUACGUGCCAGCAGCCGCGGUAAUACGUAGGGCGCGAGCGUUGUCCGGAAUUAUUGGGCGUGAAGGGCUUGUAGGCGGCUUGUUGCGCCUGCUGUGAAAACGCGGGGCUUAACUUCGCGCGUGCAGUGGGUACGGGCAGGCUUGAGUGUGGUAGGGGUGACUGGAAUUCCAGGUGUAGCGGUGGAAUGCGCAGAUAUCUGGAGGGGCACCGAUGGCGAAGGCAGGUCACUGGGCCAUUACUGACGCUGAGGAGCGAAAGCAUGGGUAGCGAACAGA